rnacentral:rRNA from 1 species
UACGUAGGUGGCGAGCGUUGUCCGGAUUUACUGGGCGUAAAGAGCGCGCAGGCGGUCGUGCAAGUCGCGUGUGAAAUCCCUCGGCUCAACCGGGGAACUGCGUCUGAUACUGGGUGGCUUGAAUUCGGGAGAGGGAUGCGGAAUUCCAGGUGUAGCGGUGAAAUGCGUAGAGAUCGGGAGGAACACCGGCGGCGAAGGCGGCUGCCUGGACCGGCCCUGACGCUGAGGCGCGAAAGCUAGGGGAGCAAACAGG